AUUGAACGCUAGCGGGAUGCUUUACACAUGCAAGUCGAACGGCAGCGCGGACUUCGGUCUGGCGGCGAGUGGCGAACGGGUGAGUAAUGUAUCGGAGCGUGCCCAGUAGCGGGGGAUAACUACGCGAAAGCGUAGCUAAUACCGCAUACGCCCUACGGGGGAAAGCAGGGGAUCGUAAGACCUUGCACUAUUGGAGCGGCCGAUAUCGGAUUAGCUAGUUGGUGAGGUAACGGCUCACCAAGGCGACGAUCCGUAGCUGGUUUGAGAGGACGACCAGCCACACUGGGACUGAGACACGGCCCAGACUCCUACGGGAGGCAGCAGUGGGGAAUUUUGGACAAUGGGGGCAACCCUGAUCCAGCCUUCCCGCGUGUGCGAUGAAGGCCUUCGGGUUGUAAAGCACUUUUGGCAGGAAAGAAACGUCGCGGGCUAAUACCCCGUGGAACUGACGGUACCUGCAGAAUAAGCACCGGCUAACUACGUG
rnacentral:rRNA from 1 species